GGCUCGCAGGCGGUUUCUUAAGUCUGAUGUGAAAGCCCCCGGCUCAACCGGGGAGGGUCAUUGGAAACUGGGGAACUUGAGUGCAGAAGAGGAGAGUGGAAUUCCACGUGUAGCGGUGAAAUGCGUAGAGAUGUGGAGGAACACCAGUGGCGAAGGCGACUCUCUGGUCUGUAACUGACGCUGAGGAGCGAAAGCGUGGGGAGCGAACAGGAUUAGAUACCCCCGUAGUC
rnacentral:rRNA from 1 species